GAUUUCAUCUGAAAAAAUCAUCAAUAACAAAGUUGUAUAACUCAUCAAAAUCUAUAACUUCUAUUUUGGUCAUUUUUUCAUCCGAGAAAGUGAUUUGUUAGAUUGUUCACAAUAUGUACAUCUAUAUAUGUACAUAUUGUGAACAAUCUAACAAAUCACUUUAUCGGAUGAAGAAAUGACCAAAAUAGAAGUUAUUAAUCUUGACGAGUUAUAUCACUUUGUUAUUGAUGAAUUUUUCAGUUGAAAUC
rnacentral:pre_miRNA from 1 species